AAAAACAUGUCUUUUUGUUUAUUUGAAAGGUUUGACCUGCUCAAUGAUUAUUUAAAUAGCCGCGGUAUAUUAACCGUGCUAAGGUAGCAUAGUAAUUAGUCUUUUAAUUGGGGUCUGGAAUGAAUGGUUUGACGAGAAAUUAGCUUUAUUUACUUUACUUAUUAUGAAUUUUUUUUCUUAGUUAAAAUUCUAAGAUAUAUAAGUGGGACGAUAAGACCCUUUAGAUCUUUAUAAUUUUUUUUGUAUUUGGUUUUUUGUUGUAUUUUUUUGUAUUUAUAUUAAUUAUUUUAUUGGGGUGAUAACUAAAAUUUUAAACUUUAGUUUUUCUUUACAUUUAUUUUUGGAUAUUUUGAUCUUUAUUUUUUUUUGAUUAUAAGAAUAAGAUACCUAAGGGAUAACAGCGUUAUUUAUUUGGAGAGUUCUUAUUGAUAAAUAAGUUUGCGACCUCGAUGUUGGAUUAAAGAAAGUUUGUGGGGUAGGUUCUGCAAAAUUAGGUCUGUUCGACCUUUAAAGCU
rnacentral:rRNA from 1 species